UACGUAGGGGGCAAGCGUUGUCCGGAAUCAUUGGGCGUAAAGAGCGCGUAGGCGGCCCGAUAAGUCCGCUGUGAAAGUCGGGGGCUCAACCCUCGAAUGCCGGUGGAUACUGUCGGACUAGAGUACGGAAGAGGCGAGUGGAAUUCCUGGUGUAGCGGUGAAAUGCGCAGAUAUCAGGAGGAACACCAAUUGCGAAGGCAGCUCGCUGGGACGUUACUGACGCUGAGGAGCGAAAGCGUGGGGAGCGAACAGG
rnacentral:rRNA from 1 species